rnacentral:siRNA from 1 species
CACCUGUCACGUGUCGUGUCCC